UGUCAGAGGAUCAUCAGUUGAGUUUGUCUUAGUUUGACUUUGUUCUGUUCUGAGCUGAUAUUUUUCUUUAACGUUGGAGUCUGAAGAUAAACAGUAUGUGUAGAAGUGUGUUUAGGUUUGCACCACUUCUGUUUCUGUUGGGGACGUACGCCGCCAGUGAAGAGACCCUAUUGAAAACAUUGGAGAUUGGAGGAACAGAUGUCACUCACAUCUGCCAAAAUCAUACAAUGUCUGAUAUGUUGUUGAUAACAUGCAAAAUAAAUGGGGAGCACAAGUGUGGAAUCUCAUUACGGUUUGACAAAAAUGAUACAAAUACAACUUGUGACUCCAGGGUCAAUCUACAGAAUGAUGGUGGCAGAGUGUUUCUACACAUAACUAACAUACAACCAUCAGAUGAAGGGAUCUACCAAUGUGAGUGUGUAUAUCAUGGAGGAACAACAAACUUGACUCUUCAUUUUAAUAUUUCUUUCAAUGAAACAGCCAAUCACGGUCUCUUCCUUUCUCAGACGAUAACAGGCAUCACAGCAUUUAUAGCUGUAAUAAUCUUCACUGCCAUAAUCAUGAGGAAAGUUAAUCUCAGGAGAACACAGUCAAAGGUGCUUUACACCUCCAACCAGGAGGAGCAGCAACCAGACAUCGAGCCCUACGACACAUUUAUAAAGAGAGACACCACGGUUUACUCAACCCUUCAGCAGCCAGAUCCUAACCCCUGACCCUGACUUACAGGCACUGUUGACCAAUAACAACAUGCUGAAGCAUGUAUUGGGUUGAAUGUUAUUUCACCAGCCCUGGAAAUGCCUGCAGGCAUACAUUUUAGAUGUAGCUGUUUCAUUUAAAUGUAUACAAUAUCAUUCUUUUGACAUGGUUCAUCAAACAAGCAGAGUAACUUUCACUACCAUGUUUGCAGUGUUUUGAGAAGUGAGAGGAUCUGUGCAGAUGGCUAUGUUACAUUUGAAACCAUACAGUACCUUGUGGUUUCCAUCUCAUCAACUGAAUAGUUCAUUGGGUUCAGGGGUGUACAGUAUAUAGCCUAAAUGUAAUGCUAAAAGAAGAUGUAUACUUGAUCACUACAACAAACAUCAGCAGUCAGAAGUGCAACAUACAGAACCUGUUCAAAAUCCUCUGAAACCCUCCUAAACUGCCAUUCAAACUUUCCAAGAAUGUUGACCUGCUACAGAUAUACCAAUUGGGCAUUUAUAAAGGUAACAAUUGAAUGAUUAUAAUAAUCAUAUAUAUUUAAGUUGACUUUAUUCUGCUGCUACUCUGAGCUGAACAUAUUAGCUAAAAGUUUAGUUCAGUAGAUGAACAUUAAGUGUAUAAUCUUGUUAAAACUGGGUCUGCUUCUGUUUCUCUGGGGUGUCUGCAUAGACAUCCGAUGUACAUUCACAGCAUGAUGAAGCCUCACAGAAAGAAAAAAAUACUGUCCUGAAUGUGAUUAUAAGAAGAUAUAUUUAAAUAUAUUAGUGCCCCACCAAUAAAUCAGCUGGCCAAAAUUGGCCCUCAACAGAAAUAUCAGUAUCAGCCUUUAAGAGCAUCUUAUCGGUGGGUUUAAUAUGAAAUGUUUAAAAAAAGAAACACUUUUUUCCUACUUUAGUUCUGAAGAGGGCGCACUUUCCAAACUGGAUAACACUGAGGCAGCACAUACCCAUACUAGGGCUGUCAAAUUCAUAUUCGAAAUGCAUUUGAAUAUCAAAUAUAAAAUGUUAAUCAUUGUUCCACUACUUGGUUUUAAUAAAGUAAGGCCAGCAUCCCGGAGCCACCUCUUCAUCGUGUAUGUUGAAAUUGGUGUACCUGCAGACCAGGUCCACCCCUUCAUGGCAGUGGUAUUCCCUGAUGGUACUGCCCUCUUUCAGGAGGGUAAUGCGCCCUGCCACACUGUACAUAUUGGUCAUAAUGUUUUGGCUCUUGAGUGUAAAUAUAUUUGG